rnacentral:rRNA from 1 species
GACUGAGUGGCGGACGGGUGAGUAACGCGUGGAUAACCUGCCUCACACAGGGGGAUAACAGUUGGAAACGACUGCUAAUACCGCAUAAGCGCACAGCACCGCAUGGUGCAGUGUGAAAAACUCCGGUGGUGUGAGAUGGAUCCGCGUCUGAUUAGCUAGUUGGCGGGGUAACGGCCCACCAAGGCGACGAUCAGUAGCCGGCCUGAGAGGGCGACCGGCCACAUUGGGACUGAGACACGGCCCAGACUCC